rnacentral:rRNA from 1 species
CGAACGGGAAUUACUUUAUUGAAACUUCGGUGGAUUUAAUUUAAUUCUAGUGGCGGACGGGUGAGUAACGCGUGGGUAACCUGCCUUAUACAGGGGGAUAACAGUCAGAAAUGGCUGCUAAUACCGCAUAAGCGCACAGAGCUGCAUGGCUCAGUGUGAAAAACUCCGGUGGUAUAAGAUGGACCCGCGUUGGAUUAGCUUGUUGGUGGGGUAACGGCCCACCAAGGCGACGAUCCAUAGCCGGCCUGAGAGGGUGAACGGCCACAUUGGGACUGAGACACGGCCCAGACUCCUACGGGAGGCAGCAGUGGGGAAUAUUGCACAAUGGGGGAAACCCUGAUGCAGCGACGCCGCGUGAAGGAAGAAGUAUCUCGGUAUGUAAACUUCUAUCAGCAGGGAAGAUAGUGACGGUACCUGACUAAGAAGCCCCGGCUAACUACGUGCCAGCAGCCGCGGUAAUACGUAGGGGGCAAGCGUUAUCCGGAUUUACUGGGUGUAAAGGGAGCGUAGACGGUGUGGCAAGUCUGAUGUGAAAGGCAUGGGCUCAACCUGUGGACUGCAUUGGAAACUGUCAUACUUGAGUGCCGGAGGGGUAAGCGGAAUUCCUAGUGUAGCGGUGAAAUGCGUAGAUAUUAGGAGGAACACCAGUGGCGAAGGCGGCUUACUGGACGGUAACUGACGUUGAGGCUCGAAAGCGUGGGG